GUCAUUCAAGAUCAUUCAUAACUAGAUAUGGCUUUCUAUGGAAAACAUAUUUCAAAAUCAAAAUUAAUAAGCAGUGUUCUCUAAUUAACCAGGAAUAAGGGUAGACGGACAAACCUGGCUGUGCUGGCCACCGAGCACAAAAAUAUGAGAUUAAUUUUACAAAGUCAUACAGAAUGGAAAGAAAUUAAAUAUCAAAGACAGAAACUAUAAAUAUUAUUCAUUAUUGCAAUACACCAACAUGUAAGUGUACGCGUUUUUCCUUUUCCCUAAAAACGUUCAUCAAUGUACUAAAUAAAAUGUAAUUAAUGGAAUUAGAAGUUCAAAUCCAUUAUAUAUGAUAUGGUACUGUACUCUUUAUUGUAUUUUUUUGUGGGUUUUCUUUGACAAGCAUGACCAUCUAUAGAAGGGUGAGAAAAAGAAAAAAAAUCGCUAUCUGCUUUUCUUUUCAAUCCAUUAUUAAUAUCGCCGUAGUUACCAUUAUUGCUAAAAACAAGGUCAUAUGGAAGCAGGGUCAUAACGUGUCCUCUCUGGGGGCCAAUCCUGAAGCAGGCUGUGGGCGUCUGCUAGAGGCUGAGGACAUGUCCCCCGACCCUGAGUUCCGGCGUCCGGAUGUUCUCUCCUGGCCAUCCCCCUUCUUCCAGGGUAAAGAUCUCAGGACCCAUCUGGAUACUUCAUUAAGAUCCUAAGACAUCUGGGGACCAGCAAUGGAAGAAUCGUGCUUAUGUUGAGUGUCUAUUGUGUGCCUGCAUUAUGCUAAACCCUUUCCCAUAUGUUAUCUCCGAUAAUCCCCCUCAAAAACCCUGCCAGAGUGGAAUCAUUCCCAUUUUACAAGUGAGAAAACAGUCUCAGAGAGCUGAGUUACUUGUUCAAGGUCACAUAGAUGGGAAAUAGUAGUUUCUGAAUUUGAUCCAAGACAGUGGCCUCAUGGAAGGGUGGGUUGGGAGGCUUUCCCUGCAGGUGUCAUCUCCAGCAGCUCCCUUCCCCGCAACAUUCACUUCCCCAAAUACGUACACAAUCUGAGUAAGGAUAUGCAAGGGACAACAUGAAUCUUUGUAUGUUCCCCGCCACCUCCCUUUCAGAGAGAUGGCUGCCCAAGCCCUGUCUACAUAGGCAUCCCAGAGUCCACACUACAUCACAAUUCAUUUGGCUUUAAAGGCCAUGUUCUUCCCAACACAACUGGUUCUCUUAGAUUCCUACCAAGAAGACUUUUGCUUUUUAAAAAAACUUUACCCAGAAGAGCCAAUCAAUCAGUGUAGACUUCCCCUAACGGAGCCUGGCACCAUAGAUUCCAAUAUUUCACCAGCCUGCCCAAGGUCAGCAGCCCAUUAAAUGCGCCACACUUCUCAGGAUUCACUGAUGCAUUGUCCAUCCCAGUGGGUAAGCAUCACUGACAUGAAGAUGCACAGCACUCACGAUGUAGAUGAGAACUUCAAUCUACUUUGAAACAUCCACUGGCCAAGGUUCAGUUCAUUUGGGGUUCUGGCUAAUUUUCUUUAGCCCCUGAAUGUAGAGACCAGGGGUGUUUACUGUGGUUGCCCAGACACAAAAUCUACCACUCCAGCCUCCACCCUGGAAGUGUGAAAGGGACCUAGGGCUGAGGUCGGCCAUGGUCUUGUAUUCUAGACAGGAAUUUGCUUUCUGACUGAACGUUCACAAGUGAAGAGCUUGUCAUGGGCUAGCUGGGAA
rnacentral:lncRNA from 12 species